ensembl:ncRNA T04C12.32 ncRNA
CAAAUAAGGAAAUUAACGAUACAUUCCGAUACAAGGAAACUCGUGUAUAGUCAUUCUUUUUCGUGUUUUUUCCAUCUGGACUUGAAUAAGAACAGGAGUUCCAAAUGUUUGAAUAAAUUAAGCCGCUGAUAGAAGAGAUCCCAGACCAACUUCCUGGCUGAAGAGUUUUUUGUUUAUGACGAAACAACGGAAUUGACAGACAAGAAUCUCGUUAACUAAUUGACAUUGAAAUUAGUUUUCCAAGAUGGAAAUUUUCUGAAGGACUAAAUUCUUUUAACCGU